GUAGUGUAUCGGAGAAACCCUGUAGACACCGUGGUGCGGGUCUUCUAAUCCCGGCGUCGCAGGUUCGAAUCCUGCCGGGAACACCA
rnacentral:tRNA from 1 species